GUCGAGCGGCAGCGACACAUUGAACCUUCGGGGGAUUUGUUGGGCGGCGAGCGGCGGACGGGUGAGUAAUGCCUGGGAAAUUGCCCUGAUGUGGGGGAUACCAUUGGAAACGAUGGCUAAUACCGCAUGAUAGCUUCGGCUCAAAGAGGGGGACCUUCGGGCCUCUCGCGUCAGGAUAUGCCCAGGUGGGAUUAGCUAGUUGGUGAGGUAAGGGCUCACCAAGGCGACGAUCCCUAGCUGGUCUGAGAGGAUGAUCAGCCACACUGGAACUGAGACACGGUCCAGACUCCUACGGGAGGCAGCAGUGGGGAAUAUUGCACAAUGGGCGCAAGCCUGAUGCAGCCAUGCCGCGUGUAUGAAGAAGGCCUUCGGGUUGUAAAGUACUUUCAGCAGUGAGGAAGGAGGUAUCGUUAAUAGCGGUAUCUUUUGACGUUAGCUGCAGAAGAAGCACCGGCUAACUCCGUGCCAGCAGCCGCGGUAAUACGGAGGGUGCGAGCGUUAAUCGGAAUUACUGGGCGUAAAGCGCAUGCAGGUGGUUUGUUAAGUCAGAUGUGAAAGCCCGGGGCUCAACCUCGGAAUUGCAUUUGAAACUGGCAGGCUAGAGUACUGUAGAGGGGGGUAGAAUUUCAGGUGUAGCGGUGAAAUGCGUAGAGAUCUGAAGGAAUACCGGUGGCGAAGGCGGCCCCCUGGACAGAUACUGACACUCAGAUGCGAAAGCGUGGGGAGCAAA
rnacentral:rRNA from 1 species